GUGCAAUGGCAUAAGCCAGCUUGACUGCGAGCGUGACGGCGCGAGCAGGUGCGAAAGCAGGUCAUAGUGAUCCGGUGGUUCUGAAUGGAAGGGCCAUCGCUCAACGGAUAAAAGGUACUCCGGGGAUAACAGGCUGAUACCGCCCAAGAGUUCAUAUCGACGGCGGUGUUUGGCACCUCGAUGUCGGCUCAUCACAUCCUGGGGCUGAAGUAGGUCCCAAGGGUAUGGCUGUUCGCCAUUUAAAGUGGUACGCGAGCUGGGUUUAGAACGUCGUGAGACAGUUCGGUCCCUAUCUGCCGUGGGCGCUGGAGAACUGAGGGGGGCUGCUCCUAGUACGAGAGGACCGGAGUGGACGCAUCACUGGUGUUCGGGUUGUCAUGCCAAUGGCACUGCCCGGUAGCUAAAUGCGGAAGAGAUAAGUGCUGAAAGCAUCUAAGCACGAAACUUGCCCCGAGAUGAGUUCUCCCUGAGACUUAAAGUCUCCUGAAGGAACGUUGAAGACGACGACGUUGAUAGGCCGGGUGUGUAAGCGCAGCGAUGCGUUGAGCUAACCGGUACUAAUGAACCGUGAGGCUUAACCUUACAACGCCGAAGCUGUU
rnacentral:rRNA from 1 species